rnacentral:rRNA from 1 species
UACGGAGGGACGAGCGUUGUCCGAAGUUACUGGGCGUAAAGCGCGCGUAGGCGGGUUGGCAAGUCUGCUGUGAAAGCCCGGGCUUAACCCGGAGGUCGGUGGAUACUGCCAGUCUUGAAGGUGCUAGGGGGAGAUGGAAUUACCGGUGUAGCGGUGAAAUGCGUAGAUAUCGGUAGGAACACCAGUGGCGAAGGCGGUCUCCUGGGGCACUCUUGACGCUGAGGCGCGAAAGCUGGGGGAGCGAACGGG